rnacentral:rRNA from 1 species
UACGGGGGGGGGCAAGCGUUGUUCGGAAUUACUGGGCGUAAAGGGCGCGUAGGCGGUUCGCUAAGUUGAAUGUGAAAACUCUGGGCUUAACCCAGAGCCUGCAUUCAAUACUGGCGGGCUAGAGUUCUGGAGGGGAUAGCGGAAUUCCUGGUGUAGCGGUGAAAUGCGUAGAUAUCAGGAGGAACACCGGUGGCGAAGGCGGCUAUCUGGACAGAGUCUGACGCUGAGGCGCGAAAGCUAGGGGGAGCAAACAGG